UACGGAAACACCGGUUCUCGUACGAUCACCGAAGUUAAACAACGUUGAAGCUGGUCAGUAACUUGAUGAGUGACUGAUUGGGAGUACCAGGUGCUGUAA